rnacentral:lncRNA from 1 species
GACAUUUCUGCACCAAGCACACAGCUUGUGGGUGCCUCACAGCCUCUGGCCCACCACGACCGCAAAGUCGACUCCAGAAGUCGUGGACUAUCUGCGGAGAACCCACUACGUGCCGCACCAACUGUUUCCAUAGGCAAUGAAGGCUCCGAUAAACUCAGGAGGCCUUGGGACAAACCACAGAUGACUUCCGUUUAUGAGACAAGAACAAGUGAAGCCCUAAUAACUGGAUAUAAUUCCUGUCUCUUUAGUUGCAAGGGAAACCAUGCCCUUCCUUGGGCUCAGUGGCUCCCUCAGCAGCUGUAUGUGUCUCUGGAGUCAAGUACUGGGAUUGGCUGGUGAAACCCACUCCAUCCCUCAAACAGCAGAGUACAGCUCGCCUCAAGUCCCAGGAAGUGUGGGGAUAAAAAAACCAGUGUUACCAAGUCCAACUCCACUUCUAUCUCCACUCUGUGACUAAUUUCUUUGUAUCUUUGACAAAUGUGUUCUGCUUGAAGCAGGUCUUGGCCUUAAAGGUAUAUGUAUAUUUGUAAUCCUUGAACUCAUUUGAAUUUCACC